CUCACAUAAUGUCCGAUACACAUGGGAAGCUCUGAAAGUAUUUACUGAAUGAGUAACUAAAUGAGUGAAUGAAUUAAUUCAAAGCCAAGUUUGACGUUAUGUUAGAUUCUAGGAGAAGAAGACACAAUCUCCAACUUCGAUGCUGAUCUAAGAAAAUAACUGUAACAGUGUGUUCAAAGUCACGUUGGAGAGGAAAGCCCAGGUACAACAUUGGAGUUCAGCAGGAGAAAGGUGGAAGGAACAAUGCACUCCAUCUGAAAGAAACCAGGGAACGCUCAACUUCUAGAACUGUCCUUGUGGAAUAACUGUUUGGAAGUCGGGAAGACCACCGGAAUGACAAAACAACGAUCACAACAAAAACAAACACAAACUGAAACAGCAGCAGCUGGUAGUUCUACACAUGUUAGCACACCCACAGAUGGAGAAAACUUACAUGAAAAAUACGGCAUUUUUUACAAGGUACUCCACCAGUAAAAAGAUUAUGACUUGCUGAAGGCUCAGAUGAUGGUUAACAUUUUUGACAAUAAAGUAUUUUUAAUUAAGACCUAUAACUAAAAACCUACCUCGGUUGUAUCAUGAUGGUGUCCCAAUAUUAUAGCAAUUUGGUGCAACUGGCAGGAAAGUAUAUGUUGCAUAGAAAGAAGAGGAUGAAGCCAGCUACCUGAAGGUUCACGCCUGCCUGGAGAUUAUCAGAGCUCGUCUGUGAUGCAGUCUAUACAGAAGUUGAAAUAUAAUGUUGUAUACCUGAAAUUUAUAUAAUGUUACAAAUCAAUGUGACCUCAAUAAAAA
rnacentral:lncRNA from 1 species